rnacentral:lncRNA from 1 species
AGGCAUUGUGUUUGUUUCUGCGGUCUGUGUUCUUUUAGCAUGCCUGAAACUCAAAAAGCGUCCAGGUUAGAGUGUUCUUUACUCUUGCUUGAGAUUUUUCCUUUUAUAAUAAUUUGUUUGCUUCUUAAAUCAUUGCCUUAGGAGAACCAAAGAAAGAUAGAAGUGUAGAGCAGUUGUUAAAGAGAAUGGAAGAAGUUAACAGUGGUGAUGAGGCUGCUUCUAACCAAGUUAAGCUAGAGGAGCUUCCGCUCUUUGAGUUCCAAGUGUUAGCUACAGCAACUGAUGACUUCUCUCUCAGAAGCAAGCUCGGACAAGGCGGAUUUGGUCCUGUUUACAAGGUAAAGGCACUAAACAAAACACUUUCUGAAAAGAGAUUUUUCUAUACAAUCUCAUAUCAAUAUUUUUUUUUUCUUCAGGGAAAGUUACCUGAAGGGCAAGAAAUAGCAGUGAAGAGGCUCUCAAGGGCAUCAGGACAAGGACUUGAGGAGCUUAUGAACGAAGUGGUUGUGAUCUCCAAGUUGCAACAU